rnacentral:lncRNA from 1 species
UUUUUCUUAAACUAUAAGUAAUAGGUCAACUAUAUAUGUUGUAUAGAAGCAUUGUUAGCUGUACAUGUCUGCCUGGCAUGGUUCAUCUGACCUUGACCUCAUUUUCAAGGUUCAUUGGUCUUUGUUUAGUUAUCUUGGUUAAUGUUAAGUUUAUGUGACAGUUGUUAUAAAGCUUAACUUUAUACUUAGGACUAUCAACAUAAUAUCAAUGAUUAGUAUAGAAGGCGAGACAUUUCAGCGUGUGCACUCUUGUUGUGUUUUGGUCUAUUUUUCUUAAACUAUAAGUAAUAGGUCAACUAUAUAUGUUGUAUAGAAGCAUUGUUAGCUGUACAUGUCUGCCUGGCAUGGUUCAUCUGACCUUGACCUCAUUUUCAAGGUUUAUUGGUCUUUGUUUAGUUAUCUUGGUUAAUGUUAAGUUUAUGUGACAGUUGUAUUAAAGCUUAGCUUUAUACUUAGGACUAUCAACAUAACAUCAAUGAUUAGUAUAGAAGGCGAGACAUUUCAGCGUGUGCACUC